rnacentral:rRNA from 1 species
CGCUUGAGCAAUGGCGUGACGCAGGAGGAUAGGGUGAGCGGCCUAUUGGAUGGCCGUCUAAGCAGUAAGUGUGGUGUGUAGGCAAAUCCGCACACCAAUAAGCACAAGCUGUGAUGGCGAGGGAAAUAUAAGUACCGAAGUCCCUGAUUUCACACUGCCAAGAAAAGCGUCUAGCGAGGAACAAGGUGCCCGUACCGCAA